rnacentral:tRNA from 1 species
GGCUCGUUCGACUUCUGGUGAGGUCGCUGGUCUUUCACGCCAGUAAGGUUGGGUUCGAAUCCCACACGAGUCG